rnacentral:lncRNA from 1 species
AGUCUCUCCCACCAGGAGGUCAGCAUCGCGGACAAAACUGUUUGCAGGCCGAGAAAGACGUGUUAGGAGAGCGUGCUUGGGGUUUUGGCCGCUCCUGAGAACAAGCCACGGCUGUGGACUCAGCUGCCCCAACCCUGGUCCGCCCCUGUCUCGCAUGACCAUCCCUCAGCUUCUUCCCUGCCACCCUCCAUCACUCCCCAGCAGCCUGAAGGUUCUCAGUUUCUGCCCGCCACCCUGCAAAGCAUGUCGAAUACAUACAAUCAGAAGGCGGUGCAGUGUGGUCGAUCAGGUAUCCGGCUUCCAAUGCUACUUAUCAGCUGUGUGACCUCAGUUACUACCGCAUCCUAACAGACCACCUCAAACCUCAGAGGCUUAAAAUAACAAUAAUCAUCUGUUUUGGUGACAAAUCUGUAAUUUGGGCAGAGCUUGGUGGGGAAAGGUCGUCUCUGUGCCAUGGGGCAUCCACUGGGGCGGCUUGGCCUGGGGCUGGAAGAGGCACUUCCAAGAUGGUCCACUUACAAGACUGGCAAUUUGGUGCUGGCUAUCGGCUGGGAGCUCAACUGGAGUUGUGGGCGAAACACCUCCGUGCGUCGUCUCCACGCGGCUGCUUGGGCUUCCACACAGCAUGGCGGCUGGGAUCCAAGAGUGUGUCCCAAGAAGACCGGCAGGAGCUGCAUCACCUUUUCUGUCCUUGCCUCAGAAGUCACACAGGAUUACUUCCAGUGUAGUCACAAGCCUGCUCAGAUUCAAGGGCAGCAGACGUAGAGCCCACUGCUCGAUGACGGGAAGAGUCAUAAAGUCACAUUGUGAAAAAAGCAUGCGAAGCGGGAUAUGUUGCUGUGGCUGCAUUUAGAAAACAGACUCUGCCACACUAUUCAGCUUGACAAUCCUUGUUUUUUAAC